CCCAAAUAAAAAGUCCCUACCUACCCCCCUCACCCUAAAAAAUAGUGAGGGGGGAAUAAAAUAACUAACCUGUAAAAUAAAAGUAAACUUACCAUUCGACGUCUUCUUUUUUCUCAAAUCUUCUUUUUUCAGCCCCAAAAAAGGCCAAAUAAAAAACCAUCAUAACCGUCGAAUUGAAAAUAAAAUAAAAAUCCUGAGCGCAAAAAAAAAAACCAGACGAAAAAGAAAAAACCCAAGCGCAAAAAAAUAAUCCAUCUUCACCCAUGGAGG